rnacentral:rRNA from 1 species
UACAGAGGUCUCGAGCGUUGUUCGGAUUCAUUGGGCGUAAAGGGCGCGUAGGCUGCGGGGUAAGUCGGGUGUGAAAUCUCAGAGCUCAACUCUGAAACUGCACUCGAUACUGCUUUGCUUGAGGACUGGAGAGGAGAUUGGAAUUCACGGUGUAGCAGUGAAAUGCGUAGAUAUCGUGAGGAAGACCAGUGGCGAAGGCGGAUCUCUGGACAGUUCCUGACGCUGAGGCGCGAAGGCCAGGGGAGCAAACGGG